AACGAACGCUGGCGGCAUGCUUAACACAUGCAAGUUGAACGCAGGAUAGGACUUCGGUUCUAUUGCUGAGUAGCAAACGGGUGAGUAACGCGUGGGAAUCUACCUUUUUGUGGGGGAUAACUGAGGGAAACUUCAGCUAAUACCGCAUAAGCUCUACGGAGGAAAGGCUUCGGCCGCAAGAAGAGGAGCCCGCGUCAGAUUAGGUAGUUGGUAGGGUAAAAGCCUACCAAGCCAAUGAUCUGUAGCUGGUCUGAGAGGAUGAUCAGCCACACUGGGACUGAGACAAGGCCCAGACUCCUACGGGAGGCAGCAGUGGGGAAUAUUGGACAAUGGGGGAAACCCUGAUCCAGCAAUGCCGCGUGGAUGAAGAAGGCCUUAGGGUUGUAAAGUUCUUUCACCUGUGAAGAUUAUGACGGUAGCAGGAGAAGAAGCCCCGGCUAACUCCGUGCCAGCCGCCGCCGUAA
rnacentral:rRNA from 1 species